UACGUAGGGUGCAAGCGUUGUCCGGAUUUAUUGGGCGUAAAGAGCUCGUAGGCGGUCUGUCGCGUCGGAUGUGAAAACCCAGGGCUCAACCCUGGGCCUGCAUUCGAUACGGGCAGACUAGAGUACGGCAGGGGAGACUGGAAUUCCUGGUGUAGCGGCGAAAUGCGCAGAUAUCAGGAGGAACACCGGUGGCGAAGGCGGGUCUCUGGGCCGUAACUGACGCUGAGGAGCGAAAGCGUGGGGAGCGAACAGG
rnacentral:rRNA from 1 species